rnacentral:lncRNA from 1 species
UGCGAAAAAAUAAUUCACUAAGAGAAAAGAUUACAAGGUGAUUACCGACUCCACGGACUCGACCUCUCUUAACCUCCUAUGAAUCUCGCGCAAUCCUCCGGGUUGUUUACGCCCUCACGUUCGAAUCCACGAACGCCACGUUCCGAAUCCACGAAACGCCUCCACUCCGAAUCCACGAAGCUCACGAUCCGAAUCCACGAACCGCCGUCAAUCACGCCGAAUCCACGACGCCGUCAUGAAGAACAUCAUGUGUAUGGUGAUCCUUCGCUUAGAGUAUCAAUAAAAACCAAGGAAGAAAACUCCAAGCGAAGCGAAGAUCAAAUCGACAUAUAGAUAUGAAAUUCCAAUAUCUAGAUUUGACCUAAAAGAGGCUAAUAUGUAGAAAAUAGAUUUUAGAUGAAAUUCGAGCCUCUAGGGUUUCUCAAACAUGUAUUUUCGUGAUGCUUGAUGUGUUAGAGAACCCCAAUAGCUUAUUUAUAGACUUUAGAAUCAAUUGGAGUCGGAUUAGAAAGUUUUUUCGAAAAUUAUAUUGUGUACCGGUACACUUUAAGCUGUUACCGGUUACACGAUGACGAAAGAGAAUUACCUGCGUAACGCUGUAACCGGUGACAGGUCGCUUGCUGUACCGGAAUAGAAUGUGUACCGGUACACUUCUGAUGUUGUACCGGUACACUUUGCAAAAACCCAAUUUUUGCACGAUUUCGGGUUUUGCAAAGUACCAACGUACUUUCUAAUCCAGUAAACUUUGGUAUUAUGAUUCUAAUACCUACAACUAAAUAUGAAUCACCAUAACAUGAAUCAAAAACUUACCUGGGCAUCGUGAUUUACACAGUGAGUUAAUUCCGCUUUCUUCGAAGUCUUGGAUUCUUCGAUCUUCGACGAUACGCACCAAUCCUUCAAGACUCCGACUCACUUCACGAAACUUGCCAACACACACGACUUAACAAUCUCCCCUUUGGCAAUUUUAUGACAAAACUCACAACAACUCAGAAAUUACAUCUUAAAGAAAAACGAAGUUAAAUGUCAUCACCAAAAUAUCGAACUCCUCGCAUGUGAUCCAAAUACAAUUUGAAACUCAAAAGUACAUUAAAAACUCCUAAAACAGACUCUAUGACUUAGACGCAACUGAGAGUCUUGAAGUCUUGAUAUCCUGCAAAACAGAUUAUCCAAAAUAAUGUAGAAAACGACAAACAUUAGACAUUCUCACAUUGAAGUCAUUUUCUUCAUCAUUCUCCUCGAAAUUUCACUUCUUCUCCCUCUUUGUUCUUUAUUCCUUCUUCUCCUCGAAAUUUCACUCCUUCUCCUUUGCUACGAUCAAUACCUGUUCAUCAUUUCUCUCCCCCUUUUUGUCAAAAAUCGCCAAAGACAAAGCAU